CUGCAGAGGAACAAGAGGAAACCCAGUUUACUACACUGAUAUAAGUGAUGAUGUCACCAUUGAGAUAACCUUUUCCAAUAAAGUUGUUGUAAAACAACAACCCAACUGGCCUCAGAUAUUCAGAGGUGAGACGAUCACUCUGACAUGUGAGGUGCAGGAAGGAGGUGAAACCACUGAGUGGGAGUAUGAAUGGAGAGGACCCAGCACACCCACACAGUGGACACACAAUAAUGAUGUGACAUUCAGAGUUUCUGAGUCCAGCAGUGGAGACUACAUGUGUAAGAGUCGACGCAGAGAUGACUCAUAUUCUUCAACAGAGUGGAGUGAAGCCUUCACAUUGUCAGCAUCAAAUAAACCAAAGGCCAAACUGAGAGCUGAUAACACAGCUGU